rnacentral:rRNA from 1 species
AACGAACGCUGGCGGCAGGCCUAACACAUGCAAGUCGAACGGGAUCUUCGGAUCUAGUGGCGGACGGGUGAGUAACGCGUGGGGACGUGCCCUUUGGUUCGGAAUAGCCCUGGGAACUGGGAGUAAUACCGGAUACGGUCGAGAGACGAAAGAUUUAUCGCCGAAGGAUCGGCCCGCGUUGGAUUAGGUAGUUGGUGGGGUAAUGGCCUACCAAGCCGACGAUCCAUAGCUGGUUUGAGAGGAUGAUCAGCCACACUGGGACUGAGACACGGCCCAGACUCCUACGGGAGGCAGCAGUGGGGAAUCUUAGACAAUGGGGGAAACCCUGAUCUAGCCAUGCCGCGUGAGCGAUGAAGGCCUUAGGGGUUGUAAAGCUCUUUCAGCUGGGAAGAUAAUGACGGUACCAGCAGAAGAAGCCCCGGUAACUCCGUGCCAGCAGCCGCGGUAAUACGGAGGGGCUAGCGUUGUUCGGAAUUACUGGGCGUAAAGCGCAGCGUAGGCGGACUGGAAGUCAGGGUGAAAUCCGGGNUCAACCCGGAACUGCCUUGAAACUCCGGUCUUGAGGUCGAGAGAGGUGAGUGGAAUUCCGAGUGUAGAGGUGAAAUUCGUAGAUAUUCGGAGGAACACCAGUGGCGAAGGCGGCUCACUGGCUCGAUACUGACGCUGAGGUGCGAAAGCGUGGGGAGCAAAC